UUAAUCAGCUCUAUAGUCUUAUAGUCGGAAUAACGAGUCUAUAAUACACCGACAGUAAAAACACAGGUUGAGUAACGCCUUUUCCUUUCAUUCAAUCAAUCUUUGUAAUGAUCGAAUUAACAGCCUUAACAGCACUUCUUGCCAUCGAUUAGCUUCCCCACCCGCCAUGUUAACUAGCAAACCUUUGCCAAUAAUUACCGGUGUUUGCUCCGAUCAAAAUUAUUAAUCCCACAAAUUCAGACUAUUUUUUAGAAGCCCAGAUCCAGAUAUUUUUAGAAGCCGUUGUGCAAAGCCUGUGGAGGUGCGACUGCUCCAGUCUUGGGAGGCGCCUUAAAUGAGAGGAGCUCAUGGUGAUGACAUGCUCUUCGUCAAUGAAAAGGUUCCAUCUCAGUUAUCAUCGAAUGACUCUGUCGCUUAUAACGCCUGCAGCCCUCACCACAAUUCCCUAAACAAACCGGUACUCUUCUUCCUUACUAUAUAUUUUUUUUUGUAAAUGUCCUUCCUCACUAUUUCACUUCCCCGUUAUGCCUAAAGCCAGGUUGCCAAAAUUCUGUUUCCUGAGAUCAAAACCAGUAAGCUGAAAGGUGCGUACAGUCUACUGAUGGAUUUUACAAACUGGAGUAAAUAUUGUUUUUCUGGGCAGGAACAAGUUUUCGUUGAUUCAAAAAAUUGACCGAAAGCAAUAUUGUUUGGGUUUACUCCAGCCCUCUAAAGCUUCAGCUUUUUCUUCCUUGGUUAGGUAAAGAUCUUUGCCAGGGCUGGUGACUUUCAGAAUCAGGUGCAGCCUCUUGAAGAAGCUUUAAAUCGAAUGUAUUUUCCAAUGCUGAAUCUUCCCAUAUAUUUUUAGUUCUUCAGAUUUUCUCUUCAUGUGUAUAUUUUGUUUGCAGCUAAUGUAUAUAUAUAUAUUGUUAUAUAAAAAUUGAGAACAUUGUGAUGCCAUUCUUGACGUUAUUGAGAAUAAAAACGCCUGUAAGUUUCUGAUG